UACGUAGGGUGCAAGCGUUAAUCGGAAUACUGGGCGUAAAGCGUGCGCAGGCGGCUUUGCAAGACAGAUGUGAAAUCCCCGGGCUCAACCUGGGAACUGCAUUUGUGACUGCAUGGCUAGAGUGCGGCAGAGGGGGAUGGAAUUCCGCGUGUAGCAGUGAAAUGCGUAGAUAUGCGGAGGAACACCGAUGGCGAAGGCAAUCCCCUGGGCCUGUACUGACGCUCAUGCACGAAAGCGUGGGGGAGCAAACAGG
rnacentral:rRNA from 1 species